GGAGGGUUGGCUGAGUGGUUGAAAGCGGCGGUCUUGAAAACCGUUAGCGGGCUCCGCCCGCUCGGGGGUUCGAAUCCCUCACCCUCCGCCA
rnacentral:tRNA from 1 species